GACGAACGCUGGCGGCAGGCUUAACACAUGCAAGUCGAACGAGUGGCGGACGGGUGAGUAAUGCUUGGGAAUCUAGCUUAUGGAGGGGGAUAACUACGGGAAACUGUAGCUAAUACCGCGUACCAUAGGAUGAGCCCAAGUGGGAUUAGGUAGUUGGUGAGGUAAAGGCUCACCAAGCCGACGAUCUCUAGCUGGUCUGAGAGGAUGACCAGCCGUACUGGAACGGAGCCACGGCCCAGACUACUACGGGAGGCAGAAGUGGGGAAAAUUGCGCAAUGGGGGCAACCUGACGCAGCCAUGCCGCGGGAAUGAAGAAGGCCUUCGGGUGGUAAAGUACUUUAGGUAGCGAGGCGUUAACUACAGAAGAAGCACCGGCUAACUCCGUGCCAGCAGCCGCGGUAAUAC
rnacentral:rRNA from 1 species